AUGGCCGGCAGCGCCCAGAGCGCCGUGGGUUCGCUGCUGGGCACCCUAGCCACGGUCAUCAGCGACGAGGCCAAACUGCUGGGCGGUGUCCGUGGCGACGUGCAGUUCAUCAAGGACGAGAUGGAGAGCAUGAAUGGCUUCCUACUCGACAUGGCCGAUACGGGUUGCCAACCAAACAACCAGGUCCGGUCAUGGAUGAGGCAAGUCCGGGAGGUCGCCUACGACUCCCAGAACUGUAUCGACCGUUACGUGCAGACCUUCGGUGCCAGCCGCCCAACGGCGGGCCUCCUUGGCACCGUACGGCAUGUGCCGCAGAUAAUGCGGACCAUGCCAGAUCGCCACCGCAUCGCCAUGCAGAUCCGAGAGCUCAAGUCCAGGGUGUGCGAGGUGGGGGAGCGGCGGCAGAGGUAUGGCAUCACGGUUGUCCCGGACAAGUCACCAGCGACUCGCACUUCCACCGGAGAAGAUGGUGCCGAGGAGGAAGAUAAUCAGAGGCAUACUGCUCUAGCUGAUAUUGCUGACCUAUUGGACAUUGACGCGAGAGCGCAGCAGGUGAUUGCAUGGCUGAAAGGACAAGGUGAUCAUUCAAAGUCCAGUAGCCUUGGUGAUAUAUGGAUAGCCAGGUCCAAGUAUGAUGAACUAGUGGUGCAGAUGCUCAAGCUGGGAAAGGGACUAGUAAGAGAGAAAGAUCUACUGAGCAUGAUAAGCAAAGCCAAAAUAACCGAGCAGCAUGCCUUAACCGCGACUAUACCUGUAGUCGCAAGGAUGCAGACAAAUGAGGCCAUAAAGGUGGUGGACAAGGACGAGAUCAUCGAAAAAACAAUGCAGAAGCUCAAGGAAGAGAAGAGGCGGCCGUGGUACGACAUGGCCAUAUGGCAGGAGUUCCGUCAGAUGCCCAUCGAGACGAUCAUGCCGGAGCUCAAGAAUAAGAAGAGGCUACCGUGGUUCACGAAAGCCAAAGAUAAGGAGCUGCUUUCCACAAAUGCCAACGAGGAGCUGCUUCACCCAAUGUAUAGCAUGGAUCCUAGUGAGAUGGAGGAGAUAAUCAUGCGGCUGCCCAAGUAUAAGAAGAGGGUGGAGCAGUUCGUGAAGGCCAAAGAGAAGAAGCAAGGGAACAAGUUUGAAGAGAAUCUGCGAGAGGAGGCCAUGAAGGUGGUGGAGGAGAACGAGAUCAAAAAGACGUUACAGGAGAUCAAGGAUAAGAAGGUACUCGAAUGGUAUGAAAAUGCCAAACAGAAGGUGAUGGUACUACUUGAGGAGGCAACGAAGGUGCAGGAGGAGAAUGAGAAGGUCAAAAAGAAGGUGUGGCUGCUGCUGCGUCAUCUGGCCAAAGAGGGGGUAAGGGAGCUGGUUCACGAUGGUGGCUGGCUGAUGGGCAUGAUAUUAGGAGACGACAAUCCCGGAAAGUCAACAGCUAGGUCAUCUAAAAAAGUGGGAGCAGGAAGCGGAGGAGAAGAGGAGGAGGAUGGUGAGGGAGGAGGAACACAGAACAAGAGAGAAAAGGAAAAACAACCGCCCAGAAAGUCAACAGUAACUAGCUCAUCUGAAAAAAUGGAAGGAGGAACAGAAGUAGAAAAUGGGGAGGAAGGAGAGGGAGGAGGAGGAACGCAGAACCAGAGAGAAAAGGAAAAACAACCGCCCGGAAAGUCAACAGUAGCUGGCUCCCCUAAAGUAGAGGGAGGAGGACGAAGAGAAGUAGAGCAGGGGGAGGAGGAUGGAGAGGGGGGAGGAAGACAUAACCAGACAGAAAAGGCAAAAGAACCGUCUGCGAUGGAGGUGCAAUACACUAUGAAGUUGAUCCGAUGGCUGAAGGGAGUUUUCGGCAAUGACCAUAUGCAGGCUAAACUCCUUGCCAUUGUAACACCACCGGUUGAUGCCAGUAAUCCAGAGGCACACAAGCGGGCGACUGAUCUUGCGAGGACAGUGUAUGACCAUCCUGAUGCAGCGAGCCAUUUCAACUUCAAGGUCUGGGUCGAUGCCAAGCGCAAUACGAAGCGGAAGGAGAGGCUUCAAUGCAUACUCAAACAAGUACAGCCCCACUCCAUUGAAGACCAUCAGAUUAGCACAUGGGAUGAGAUGACAUUGGAGCAAGAGAUUCAACAGCACCUGAAAGGUCAAAAAUUCUUGAUCAUUCUGGCUGAUCAUGAGGAUCAUUCACCAUGGGCAGACAUUACAAAGGCUUUGCCAACUGAUCACACUUCUGACAGUGCUAUCAUAGUAACCCCAAUGAUACAGCAAACACCUCAUUUGCAUGGGUGGUACAUAGCUAGCUUUUUUUUCUUGCUCAAAGAUUACCGCUGCAACGUCCACUUCUUAUCCUAUCUUGAUACUGCACUCAAAAAAGCCACUCAAUUGCUGGACGGGAGCAACUACAUGGAGGAAUCAAUGGGCAUUGUUGAGCAAAUUCUUAAGAGAUGUCGUUGGGAUUCCUUUUCUACCAAGAUGGUCCUUCAUGCUCUUCAUGCUAAUCCUCACAGAAGCAAUGAAGAUUGGAAGAAACUGCUACAUAGGCUAAAAGAUUUUAGCACACUGAGUAAUGCAAACCAAAUCGUAAGGUUCUGUUAUGACGACCUGCCCAGCCAUUAUAAGAUGUGCUUGUUGUACCUAUCCAUUUUCCCCCAAGAUUCCAAAAUCAGGAGAACAAGCUUAGUCAGAAGAUGGGUUGCUGAAAACCUGAUCAUCAGAACACAUGAGUUGAAUGCAUUGGAUCACGCUGAGCAUGCAUUCAAUGCGCUCGUUGCUCGAGGUCUUGUUCUUCCCUGUGAAAUUGGCCCUGAAGGCAAAGUAAAGUUUUGUAAGGUACAUCCUCAUGUCUGCUCCUUCAUUGCUAAGAUGGCACGUGAGGAGAAUGUUGGGAACACAGGCCUGCUGCCUGAGUUUGCACACUGCCUUUCCAUUCGCAAUGGAAUUCAACUCCAACAGCUCCCCAAGAAGAGACAAGCCACAUAUCCCAACACAUGCUGCUGGAGACCCCAGAAGCCCCCUGCCAGUACCAAGGAUCCCUUGUAUGUCAUAGUAACAUUUCUGAAUUCGCUGCUCGCAUCUUCUCAAUUAGGAUUGGUCAAAGUGCUGGACCUAGAAGGUUGCAAUGGAUUAAAGAAGCAGAACCUCAAGAUAAUAUGCAACAAGCUAUUUCAGCUCAAGUAUCUCAGUCUAAGGAACACAGACCUUACUGACCUUCCCAAGGAGAUUGACAAGCUCAGGUACCUGGAGACAUUUGACAUCAGGCAAACCAAGAUACGAUCAUUCCCUACAAAAGCCAUUGGUAUGCUCCAAAAGCUAGUGCAUCUCCUUGCAGGUCAUACUGGGCUAGAUGAGUCACUUUCCACUGUUCAUAUCCCUCAUGGAGUAGGGACCAUGACAAACAUGCAGAUACUAUCCCAUGUUGAAGUUUCCAAGAAAGGUGAUGAUCAUGAGUUAACUGAAGUUGGUCGGCUGCAGCAGUUGAGGAAGCUGGGUGUGGUUAUCCAUGGCAAUGAAGCCCAUUUGCUCCACAUUUUGCUUCGGGUAAUUGGAAAGCUACAUGAAUCUCUGUGCUCUUUGUCAGUCCGUAUUGAAAUAAGAAAGACUGAUACUGGUGUGUUUCGCUCAAAAAGUGAACAUGAUGGCGAUGAUACUGAUGACAUGAACACAAACGAGACAUUUUCACCUCCCAAAUUUCUUGUAAAUCUUAGAAUCAAUGGAUGGAUAAGGGGGCUACCAAGCUGGAUCAAAGAGCUACAUAAACUUUCGAAGAUAACUCUCUGUGGUACAUACUUGACGGACACUGAUAUACAGCUGCUAGGUGAACUUGGCAAUUUGCGCCUUCUCAUGCUCCGGCCCAAGUCAUAUAAGGACAAGAAGCUUACUUUGAGGAGUAAUAAAUUCAAAAGACUUCAAUUCCUUGUCAUAGAGGACUCAGACAUCUCCAACAUUCAUUUUGAACAUAAUGGAGCUUCUAAUCUUGAGAAGAUAGUUUGGACUUCCAAUAGCAUGGAAAACCUACAUGGAAUUGAACAACUUCUGAGCCUGAAAGAUAUUGAGCUGAACAGUAACUGUGACCUGAGUCGCAUCAUACAUGCCACAAAAGCAAAUCCAAAUCACCCUAUCCUUACGCAGAAUCCAAUACCCAAGGCCACCGAGGCUACUGAUGCAAGCAACAUUCCUCGUCGGCAGUAG
rnacentral:rRNA from 1 species